UACAGAGGUCCCAAGCGUUGUUCGGAUUCACUGGGCGUAAAGGGUGCGCAGGUGGCGCUUCAAGUUUGAUGUGAAAGCCUCGGGCUUAACCCGGGAAUGGCAUUGAAUACUGGGGCGCUGGAGGGUUGGAGGGGGGACUGGAAUUCUCGGUGUAGCAGUGAAAUGCGUAGAUAUCGAGAGGAACACCAGUGGCGAAGGCGGGUCCCUGGACAACACCUGACACUGAGGCACGAAAGCUAGGGGAGCAAACAGG
rnacentral:rRNA from 1 species